rnacentral:lncRNA from 1 species
GUCCUUCCCGCCUCGCCCACUGCUACCGAUGUACAGGAUGUCGCAACUCCAGGGAGCUUGUCAUCUAAAAUAGGAAAAUUAAGCAAAUUUAAAAACAAAAAUGUCUGGCAGUGAUACAAAUCGUACAUGAAUUGUGUGCGUAGCUGGGCAACGAAAUAGCUAGAACAAUGUUUACCUUGAACACCUGCUUGCUGAAGAAGAGCGACAGCUUCGGCGUACGAAGGAGGCGGCAGCUCACUUGGUCCUUGACCCUGGGUGAUGACCUCGUACGGGGGCGGGCCAGGGGUUCCUGUGCCGGACCCAUUCACCGCCUGAGCGCCGGCCAGUUCCUGUAAAUGCUGAAGCUGACCAAUUUAUAAUUUACACGGAAUUUAUCGCAUAAUGCGGACGAUAAUGCAGGGAAGAGAAAAAAAAACAUGCAAGAGGAAAACUACGUUUCUGACUAAUUAGUUUCAUUAACUUACAAUGACUAUUCACAGUUUUAUUUCUAUUACUUUUGCCCAGUAAAUUUUUAGAGAAAUUGUUUCUGACACUGAAUAUCACAACACAUUUAAACGAUAUCUGAUAGUAACGAUAUACCGAGACAAUCAAGAAAGAACUGGAAUGAAAAAAUAUGGAAUUCAUUUUGAAGAAAAAUUUUUUUUCGCUUUUACCAGCAGACAAUUCGCCACCUUUUACUUCUCUCUUUUCCGCUUAUUCUCUUUCUCCUUCUGCCGCUGUGGCUGCUGUUACUUCUUUUUAUAUUUAACCGAGACAAAUAUUUUUCACAUGACAACGCCAGAAUGUAAACAUACCUAGUUAGUUGUUUGGUCAAAUUUAGUCAAGUGAACUUAACGCAACUUUUCCGUACUCUUUUCUUCAGGGAAUUUAAAAUUAAAGAUGAUUUAAAUUUUCCACAUAAUCUACUGCUACUGCUAUUCCUGAAUUCGAUAC